GGCGGGCUGGGUGACGGCGAGUGCGUCUGGCGGCGAGCCGUGUGGACCCGCGCGUGCGUGCGUGCGUGCGAGCGAGCGAAGGGCUCGGGGCCCGGCGCGUGGUCUGCGCGCGCCCGGCCACCCGUGCGGCUGAGGGGAGGCUGCGUGUGCGCGCGGCCGCCCCGAGCGUCGGCCGCCCGCCCGCCCGCGUCGGAGCCGGGUGCGCGCCGCGCGCAGGAGUAGUUCACAGCAAAACUUUUAAUUAAAGCAUGAAAUACAGAAAACUUCAGCUGGUGCUUUAGUCUGAUCUGAAAUUCUACAGGAUUUGAGGAGGUGCAAGAGUUACGCUCUACUAAACCAUUUUGGAUAAAAUAUAUGUAUUUAAAAAUUGAGUUAUUAAAAUACUGUGGUACCUCAGGGAAACUUACUGUAUAAACUUAAUUUGGUGAUCAUAUUCAACUUCAAGACUGAACUCUCUUUAUGCCAAAGAAAAUACUCCAGUGGAAACUUCUGUUUUCUUUUUUUUUUUUUGGGGGGGGAGGAAGAUCAGCCCUGAGCUAACAUCCAUGCUAAUCCUCCUCUUUUUGCUGAGGAAGACCAGCUCUGAGCUAACAUCUAUUGCCAAUCCUCCUCCUUUUUUUCCCCCAAAGCCCCAGUUGAUAGUUGUAUGUCAUAGUUGCACAUCUUUCUAGUUGCUGUAUGUGGGAGGCGGCCUCAGCAUGGCCGGAGCAGCGGUGCGUCAGUGCGCGCCCAGGGUUCUGAACCCGGGCUGCCAGUAGCGGAGCGCGUGCACUUAACCGCUAAGCCACAGGGCCGGCCCUCUCUUUUCUUUCCCUUUCAAAAUUUGCCUUCUCUCUCUGCCUAGUCUCCAGCUGUAUUCUGGAUGAAAUGCCUUUAUCCCUUUCACAAAUAUACAAUGUCCAAGCCAAACAUGCUUUUCUGUUGCCGCUCUAACAGCUGUCAUUGCUCCUCCCUGCUCACUGUAUGGUAGAUACUCACACUGUACAGCUUCAUGAGUGAGGUCAGAUGUGUAGGGUUAAACAGCAUGCUUUUAAAUAACCUUGUACAACAGAUGUAUUCAAAAGUUCCAGUUCAUUUAAAGCAGGCUCUUUGGUAAAUAUCUCUUUGGGACUAUGAACAGUGGUUCUGUUUUAAUAAAAAGUUGUGUAUUAUAAAUAUUUAUUUGCUUUUGGCACAUUGUGAAUUAGAGGAGAGGGUAAGGUGAAGGUAGGGGCCAGAAGCAUAGCAGUUUGUAGUGGGUAUACCUGACGAGGGGGAGAUGAAGGCACAGAACAUCUGUAGGGGGGACCCUGAGAGGCUGCAGAAUAGAAGAUUGAGCUAGGGGGAUAACUUGUGCCCCUUGAAGCUCUGAGAAAUUUAGGAAUGAAAACCAGAGAGCUAGAGUAGAUUAUCCGAGUUUCCCAUUCUGUGUGUGUGUGACCCUGAAUACAGGUAGUUAACCAGGAAGCCAAGGCCUUUUGUGAUCCCCUUUUAGCAUCCACAGCCCAGGUGAAUAUUAUCAGCCCUGCUUCCCCUUCAGGAACCGUUUCAUGUUGGGAACCUUUCACCAACACUAGGACCGCCUUUUCAGUAGCAUGGCCAUUUGGGGUCAUGAGGAAACAGAGAAGAGAGGUCUUAGGAGAUUUUAUUGAUGUUCUGAGGGAUGCCAUUUCAUGGGGCUAGAAUGCUUCCAGACCAGCAGCCUGUUUUGUCAAGUUUCUUUGGAGCACAGCCACACCUAUGUGUUCAAUAUUGUCUGUAGCUCCAUUUUCACUACAAAGGCAAAAUUAAGUAGCUGGGAUAGAGACCAUAUGGCCCACAAAGAAGAUAUUUGCUAUUUGGCCUUUUAUUUAAAAAAAAAGUUUGCCUACACCUGGGCUAGAACGUAGAAUUCUGCUAAACUCCCCAGCUCUGCUUGGACAGGCUCUUUCAAGUUAGAAUAAAGAAGCACUGCUCCUGUUAGAACAUGUCACAAGCCUGUGGCCAUCUACCCCCUGCGUGGCAGUGAUGACUCAACCAAGUCUCGUAUCUGGGACUAUAUUUGACUACUAUUUUGGUAACAAACUUUCCAUGGGUGGAAUUACCCACUUUCUAAGAGAAAAACUUAUAAUCAACUCUUAUUUCUUAAUAUUCAAUAGUUCCUUUCUCUAAACGGGUACAAGUUCUAUAAUUUACACUUUUUUUGAGCAUCCACGCAUUCUGAGAAGGCAACUCAGCUCCCUGCCAGGGAGGCUGACCGCUAAUUUGGAGACAUUAGAGCCGAGGUCUCCCUCCAGCCUCUCCAGGUGGGCUUUACUCAUGACCCUUCCUCCUGCUCGGCAUGGAAUGUCAGCAGCUGGAGGGAAGGGCUUGUCUGUCUGCCUCCCUGUUGCAGCUGCAGCCUCUGACACAGGUCUCGCAUGUUGAAUGAAUGAAGCACACUCAAAUAACUGAGGGAAGGGUAAUCAGUCACGUAGCUUGACCGAUGAGAAUGAGGACAAUCUGUAGCGUUCCUAAUCUAGGGUAACGACAGCAAGAAAUAUUAACCAGAGCAGGUUCCUGUGUCGUCUUCCUCCAGUGGGUAAAGCUGUAACAAAACAGACAGGAAGCCCAGCUCUUGAGUCAGCCUCGCUGCUGUUCUGCCUGACACACAGAUCACACAGAUCUUUGCUCUGCUCCGGUUUCUCUAGCUUCUUCAGACCCGGCCAUUCUGCAGCCUCUCCCCACAGGCUGCUCUGUCACUGGGCUCUCAGGCUGCCCAGCCCUGAGCACAGAGGUGCAUCCACUUUUGCUCUACUCUUUGCUCCCUGCCCAGGAAUCUCAAGAGGCUGUGGGGUGGGUAUGAGGUUGGGCUCUUCUGUGGGCUCUGUGCCCUAGAGAAGGAGCGCAGCGUUUGGGGUUGGGCCUGAGUUUGGGUUCCAGGUCUGCCUGUACUUGGGCUGCACAGGUCUCUGAAAACUGGGAUGCUAACACUCAUUUUACAGUGUUGUGAAUGUGCUUUGUAAAUUGCUAUAGAAGUGAUACAGACUUAAGCCCAAAAGCCCACUUUCCCUUAAGAAAAACUUUGCUUAAAAUCCUAACGUGUACUGCAAAUUAUUAGGAAUGGGGGUCUUUUGUUGGACAUACGUGCAGAUAGGGCAGAAGCCACAAGAAAAUUGCAGCAGAAUUUUCCUUGUCAGGUCCUGCUACUUUUGGUUGCUCCUCAUUUUUCUCAGCCGGAAGGCCCUACACACCACAACCCCAGAAAUCUAUAAAAUAUUCACGUAUAUUGUUAGUCGUAUAAGAAAGUACUUUGUUUGCAAACAGUAUAUAAUAUGUCUUUUUAAAAUAUGUUUUUAAAAACUCAGAUGUCUUCUACAUCAAUACACUGAGGCAGGAGGCGUCUGUUUUAAUAAGGCUUGAAUGCCAGGCAUUCUUCCCACAUCUCAGAAUACACCUGAAGUGGCACUGCUGCAGCAUCGGGGGUUCAAGGGCAGAACUGGAGUGGUGGAGUAUUAGGUACUCAUCCUUACUGUCUGCCUGCAACUGGUUAACAGCCUGGAGAGUUCUGCUUGACGUGGGGAUUUUUCUUAAACUCAGUGAACACUUCAGAUUCAUUCUUAAAAACCGAACAAUUAAAACAAUUUAUGCAAAAAUGAGACCUUUUCUAUAUACUACAUUUUAAACAUUAGGAGUAACAAAGUCAUGGAAUCUUGGAGUGGGAGGGGACCUUAGAAGUUACCUACAAUAACUUAAAACUCAAG